ACGUGAGUAACCUGCCCCUCACUCUGGGAUAAGCCUGGGAAACUGGGUCUAAUACUGGAUACGACCGAUCUCCGCAUGGAGUGUUGGUGGAAAGUUUUUGUGGUGGGGGAUGGACUCGCGGCCUAUCAGCUUGUUGGUGGGGUAAUGGCCUACCAAGGCGACGACGGGUAGCCGGCCUGAGAGGGCGACCGGCCACACUGGGACUGAGACACGGCCCAGACUCCUACGGGAGGCAGCAGUGGGGAAUAUUGCACAAUGGGCGAAAGCCUGAUGCAGCGACGCCGCGUGAGGGAUGACGGCCUUCGGGUUGUAAACCUCUUUCACCAGGGACGAAGCUAACGUGACGGUACCUGGAGAAGAAGCACCGGCUAACUACGUGCCAGCAGCCGCGGUAAUACGUAGGGUGCGAGCGUUGUCCGGAAUUAUUGGGCGUAAAGAGCUUGUAGGCGGUUUGUCGCGUCUGCUGUGAAAGACCGGGGCUUAACUCCGGUUCUGCAGUGGGUACGGGCAGACUAGAGUGUGGUAGGGGAGACUGGAAUUCCUGGUGUAGCGGUGAAAUGCGCAGAUAUCAGGAGGAAC
rnacentral:rRNA from 1 species